rnacentral:rRNA from 1 species
AGACGUCUACAUUAGAUACCCCGGUAGUCCCAGCCGUAAACUAUGCGCGUUAGGUGUAUCGGUGACCACGAGUCACCGAGGUGCCGAAGGGAAACCGUGAAACGUGCCGCCUGGGAAGUACGGUCGCAAGGCUGAAACUUAAAGGAAUUGGCGGGGAGCACCACAACGGGUGGAGCCUGCGGUUUAAUUGGACUCAACGCCGGGAAGCUCACCGGAUAAGACAGCGGAAUGACUGCCGGGCUGAAGACUCUGCAUGACUAGCUG